UACGUAGGGUGCAAGCGUUAAUCGGAAUUACUGGGCGUAAAGCGUGCGCAGGCGGCUUUGCAAGACAGAUGUGAAAUCCCCGGGCUUAACCUGGGAACUGCAUUUGUGACUGCAUGGCUAGAGUGCGGCAGAGGGGGAUGGAAUUCCGCGUGUAGCAGUGAAAUGCGUAGAUAUCAGGAGGAAUACCGGUGGCGAAGGCGGCCUUCUGGACGGUGACUGACGCUGAGACGCGAAAGCGUGGGGAGCAAACAGG
rnacentral:rRNA from 1 species